rnacentral:rRNA from 1 species
UACAGGGGGUGCUAGCGUUGUUCGGAAUUACUGGGCGUAAAGGGCGCGUAGGCGGUUUUGUAAGUCAGGAGUGAAAUCCCGGAGCUUAACUCCGGAAUUGCUUUUGAAACUACAAGGCUAGAGUGAGUUAGAGGAUGUCGGAAUUCCUAGUGUAGAAGUGAAAUUCGUAGAUAUUAGGAAGAACACCGGUGGCGAAGGCGGACAUCUGGGACUCUACUGACGCUGAGGCGCGAAAAGCGUGGGGGAUCAAAACAGGG